UUAAAAUUUCAAUAAAGUUUUAGUUUUAAUAAAAAUUUUCACCAAAUUCAAGUUCUAUAAUAUAUUUUUUAGAGAAAAAAAGCUAAGGAUUUAUUUGUUAUAUCUCCACUGCCCUCUCUAGCUAUAAUAGAAGAUUGUGAGAUGAAAGAUAAGCAGAGACUUGUCUUCGUGUUCAUAAAUAUAGUAGUGUAAAAAAUUGGUGAGGAGACAUGGAAGCUAGAAGGAAGAGGAAUUCGUCAAUUGCUAAUCUGCUAUGACUAAUGCUGUCUUUAAGAAAAAAAACUAUUUAAUUGCGGAGGAGUGGAGGGUUGGAGUUAAUUCAGGCGGUAGAAGAAAAAGAAGUGAUACGAAUAUGAUAGCAAGACAUGAAAAGUUUUGGGUGAUUGGCUCUUGCUCUAUUUUAAAGAUGGUUUAGGCUAUAAGAGAUUAGAACGAUGUAGGUCUUCAUCGCAUCUAGAACAUUUUCUUUCAUGUAACAUCUAUCUAUAUAUAUAAAGUUGGAUUGCCUCUCUCCUCAUGCAUCCACCUUAGCAAGGAAGGAGGGGCAUUUUUAGACACGUGGCAAGUGAAUAAUCAUGUGUUUUUGUUUGAUUUCUUCCUUUGGUGUGCUGGGCUUUUCUUUGGUCAUUUCUAAAAAAAUUGUAGAUUUUUGGAGAUUGGGUUUUUUCUAAAGGUUAUGUUCAGGCCCAGCAAGUAGGGUUGUGUCGUCUUCCUAUCUUCGACAUUCAUAGCUCUGCUCGCUGAACAAAUCACCGUAACGUCUCCUGAUAGCAUUAAAACAUAUUUUAAUCUGAUCUUUAACACGAUUGCCCCAUUAUUUCAUCUCUCAAGCAUUCAAUCAACCUCAUCAUCUCCCAUAGUAACCGACGGAAGCUCGGAAUAUAAAUCUCCAAUCUCCAGCGAUGAACAGCACAGAAUCAACCAAAUCAAGAAGAACAGUCUCUGCUAAUUACCACGACCGUCUCCUAUAAACUGCUAAUAAAAGACAUAUAUCUGCUAAUUCAUAUCUUGUAUUCUAUUUUAGCCAGGCUGUUGUCAUCCCACUUCUUCGUUUCUCAUAGGAGCGUAAUGUGAAGAAAGAAGGUGAUUCUCUGCUACUGGAAGAUAAGUGUCUCCAAUCGGGCAUAAAGAUGCAUACAAGAUUUUGAGUGCGCAAGGAAAGCAAAAUCAGUUGAAACCUCAUCAUAGCACGUACAAAAUUUUAUUGGGGAAUCUGAUGACGACUUGCUAGAGACGAUAGUUUAAGAAGCAUUGUUGACUCUUCAACCAAUAAUAAUGUGAUUAUUUCUCUUUUUUUUUUUUGUAAAACUUCUUUUUGUAACACCAAUUAUUUUUCAUUUAUCUCUGUCUUUCUCUGUGUAUUUGAAACGAUGAUGAAGUCUACAAGGCACAGUGAGACAUAGGAUUCACUCGCUCUGUGCCCAAACUAUA